rnacentral:rRNA from 1 species
UACGUAGGGUGCAAGCGUUAAUCGGAAUUACUGGGCGUAAAGCGUGCGCAGGCGGUUUUGUAAGUCUGUCGUGAAAUCCCCGGACUUAACCUGGGAAUGGCGAUGGAGACUGCAAGGCUAGAGUUUGGCAGAGGGGGGUAGAAUUCCACGUGUAGCAGUGAAAUGCGUAGAGAUGUGGAGGAACACCGAUGGCGAAGGCAGCCCCCUGGGUCAAAACUGACGCUCAUGCACGAAAGCGUGGGGAGCAAACAGG